rnacentral:rRNA from 1 species
UACGGAGGAUGCAAGCGUUAUCCGGAAUGAUUGGGCGUAAAGCGUCCGCAGGUGGCUGUGUAAGUCUGCUGUCAAAGAGCGGAGCUCAACUUCGUAAAGGCAGUGGAAACUACACGGCUAGAGUGCGUUCGGGGCAGAGGGAAUUCCUGGUGUAGCGGUGAAAUGCGUAGAGAUCAGGAAGAACACCGGUGGCGAAAGCGUUCUGCUAGACCUGUACUGACACUGAGGGACGAAAGCUAGGGGAGCGAAUGGG